GAACAGCAGUCGGUGCCGCUGCAGAUGCAGCGGAGAAUAGGGAAACAGGUGAGACGCCUGUGCGAACUCGUCACCGUAUGCGGGAUGAUGCCGUCGGUAUGCCACUGAGCGAUCGGGAAGGCGACGGUAUUUGAAACCGCGAGCCGGGAGACCUGCCGAUUGC
rnacentral:ncRNA from 1 species